GGGUUAGUAGGUUGGUCAUGCCUCUGGUAUGUACUGGUUUCACUGAUUCCUCCUUCUUGAAGAACCUUAAUGCCAUUAAUUUGGUGUUGUAGGGAAUUUGGACUGUUACUUUGAAAAAAUUAGAGUGUUUAAAGCAAGCUAACGCUUGAAUACAUUAGCAUGGAAUAAUGAAAUAGGACGUUUGAUCCUAUUUUGUUGGUUUCUAGGAUUGACGUA
rnacentral:rRNA from 1 species